CCCCAGUAACGGCGAGUGAAGCGGCAACAGCUCAAAUUUGAAAUCUGGCCCCCAGGGCCCGAGUUGUAAUUUGCAGAGGACGCUUUUGGCGCGGUGCCUUCCGAGUUCCCUGGAACGGGACGCCAUAGAGGGUGAGAGCCCCGUCUGGUCGGACACCAAGCCAGUGUAAAGCUCCUUCGACGAGUCGAGUAGUUUGGGAAUGCUGCUCUAAAUGGGAGGUAUAUGUCUUCUAAAGCUAAAUACCGGCCAGAGACCGAUAGCGCACAAGUAGAGUGAUCGAAAGAUGAAAAGCACUUUGAAAAGAGGGUUAAACAGUACGUGAAAUUGUUGAAAGGGAAGCGUUUAUGACCAGACUUGGGCCCGGUGAAUCAUCCAGCGUUCUCGCUGGUGCACUUCGCCGGGCCCAGGCCAGCAUCAGUUCGCCGCGGGGGAUAAAAGCUUCGGGAACGUGGCUCCCUCGGGAGUGUUAUAGCCCGUUGCACAAUACCCUGGGGCGGACUGAGGUUCGCGCUCCGCAAGGAUGCUGGCGUAAUGGUCAUCAGCGACCCGUCUUGAAACACGGACCAAGGAGUCGUCUUCGUAUGCGAGUGUUCGGGUGUCAAACCCCUACGCGUAAUGAAAGUGAACGCAGGUGAGAGCUUCGGCGCAUCAUCGACCGAUCCUGAUGUUCUCGGAUGGAUUUGAGUAAGAGCAUACGGGGCCGGACCCGAAAGAAGGUGAACUAUGCCUGUAUAGGGUGAAGCCAGAGGAAACUCUGGUGGAGGCUCGCAGCGGUUCUGACGUGCAAAUCGAUCGUCAAAUAUGGGCAUGGGGGCGAAAGACUAAUCGAACCUUCUAGUAGCUGGUUUCCGCCGAAGUUUCCCUCAGGAUAGCAGUGUUGAACUCAGUUUUAUGAGGUAAAGCGAAUGAUUAGGGACCCGGGGGCGCUCUUUAGCCUUCAUCCAUUCUCAAACUUUAAAUAUGUAAGAAGCCCUUGUUGCUUAAUUGAACGUGGGCAUUCGAAUGUAUCAACACUAGUGGGCCAUUUUUGGUAAGC
rnacentral:rRNA from 1 species